rnacentral:rRNA from 1 species
UACAGAGGGGGCAAGCGUUGUUCGGAAUUACUGGGCGUAAAGGGCGCGUAGGCGGCCCGCUAAGUCGAACGUGAAAUCCCCGAGCUCAACUCGGGAACUGCGUCCGAUACUGGUGGGCUUGAAUCCGGGAGAGGGAUGCGGAAUUCCAGGUGUAGCGGUGAAAUGCGUAGAUAUCAGGAGGAACACCAAUGGCGAAGGCAGCUCGCUGGAACGGUACUGACGCUGAGGCGCGAAAGCGUGGGGAGCGAACAGG